rnacentral:rRNA from 1 species
UACGUAGGGGGCAAGCGUUUGUCCGGAUUUAUUGGGCGUAAAGAGCGUGUAGGCGGCCUGGAAGGUCAGCUGUGAAAACUCGAGGCUCAACCUCGAGACGUCGGUUGAAACCACCUGGCUAGAGUCCGGAAGAGGAGAGUGGAAUUCCCGGUGUAGCGGUGAAAUGCGCAGAUAUCGGGAAGAACACCCGUGGCGAAGGCGGCUCUCUGGGACGGUACUGACGCUGAGGAGCGAAAGCCAGGGGAGCAAACAGG